AUCUAGUGGUGGGGGCAACUAGAACACAAAUUCUUGAACCUCUCCUAGUAUUCAUAUAGGCUCUCACCAGAUUGGUGCUUGAUGAUAGAGAUUUCCUUUCUUAUGGU